rnacentral:rRNA from 1 species
GACGAACGCUGGCGGCGUGCUUAACACAUGCAAGUCGAACGAAGAGCGAUGGAAGCUUGCUUCUAUCAAUCUUAGUGGCGAACGGGUGAGUAACGCGUAAUCAACCUGCCCUUCAGAGGGGGACAACAGUUGGAAACGACUGCUAAUACCGCAUACGAUCUAAUCUCGGCAUCGAGGAUAGAUGAAAGGUGGCCUCUACAUGUAAGCUAUCACUGAAGGAGGGGAUUGCGUCUGAUUAGCUAGUUGGAGGGGUAACGGCCCACCAAGGCGAUGAUCAGUAGCCGGUCUGAGAGGAUGAACGGCCACAUUGGGACUGAGACACGGCCCAGACUCCUACGGGAGGAAGCAGUGGGGAAUCUUCCGCAAUGGACGAAAGUCUGACGGAGCAACGCCGCGUGAGCGAUGACGGCCUUCGGGUUGUAAAGCUCUGUUAAUCGGGACGAAAGGCCUUCUUGCGAAUAGUGAGAAGGAUUGACGGUACCGGAAUAGAAAGCCACGGCUAACUACGUG